rnacentral:tRNA from 1 species
GGAGACGUGGCAGAGCGGCUGAUUGCACCAGUCUUGAAAACUGGAGUACGUGAAAGCGUACCGGAGGUUCAAAUCCUCCCGUCUCCG